ensembl:lncRNA
AGGCCAUUCUGGAAAGAAGCAUCUUCACCUGGAAAAGAGCACAUGCUGGCUGAGGAAGCCCUCCAUCUGCUGCUGGCUCCUGCUCCUGCUGCCUGAGGUGUGGGUAUCCUACUGCUCCUCCUGCUCAUCAGAUUCUGGAAGCCUGAUGGGGUUUGUUGGCUCUGGAGGUCCUGGAAGGGAACCCACUGCAGUAGAUAACACCUUAUCUUCCAAAGGAGGGCAUAAGCAGCGUUACUGCAGGGCCUGCUGCAACGUGGGCUGUUGCACAGCAUUGGUGCUUUGUUUUCCCUGCUUGUCAGUGAGUGCUUUAACUGGGUGCGGCUCUUUAAAUUGUUUUAAGUGGGAAGCUUUAUUUUGAACUUAAUAUUUUCAUACCUAAGAAAUGUGGGGAUUUAAUGACGUUCUUACGUCCGGGACUUCUCAAUGCUCUCGUAAAAGAAAUUCCCAAUAUUGCAAGUGCUCUGCAACCAGAGGGGACUGUCCUGCACUAAGAACAGUGGAGUGAAACCACCCACCUGCUGGAGAUUCAGUCGUGUACUCCUUUGUGUGAACUCAGGCUGGGUUAAUCGCAUUUGAGCUCGGCUGGAGAAAUAGCCAUGCAUUAUGCUGCCAGCUGACUGCACAGGGCUACACCUAUUUUUCAAAGGCAAAGGAGAAAGCUGCUCUGAGUGACUCAGUUACAAGUCAGGCAAGUUGUUUUCAGCGCUGCCUCGUAGAGAACAAAGAUAAGAACUAGAGAAAAUGAAAUCAACAGGGAAGGGAAGGCAAUCUGACGUUAGCUGAAGGUUUGCCCAUGUUGCUAUGUUUCAGCAGCAGGUAUGUCCACUUAUGUUAAUGAAAUGGCAUGAAGUGCACCUUUCAAGGUAACCCCAGAGCUGGAGAAGAAGCAAGCUGGCAGGCAGGGGGAGGGGGGAUGUUCAGCUCCCUGCCCUGGGUGCUCACUGCUGCCUUCCUGGGGCUGGGGAAAUGGCUGUGCUCCUUCACAGAGCUUCAGUGAAUUCAUUUUUCUGUGUAGAAAUGGCAUUUUCUCAUUGGAAAAAAGUAUGUGAUGAGUUCCAGUUUGGCACUGGGAAGGUCCAGGUGAAGUAACAAUCUGGCUCACCUGGAAGCAUUUCUGGGUUUACCACCUUUUACCGCCCCCUGUGCUGGAAGGGACAAAGCAAGGAUGCAGGGCGACUUGUUCUGCUCUGAAACAGCUCCAUUUCUGUGCUGAGUGCACCACUCCGUGCGGAUGGAGCAAAGUUACAGCCAUUAGAGUUAUGAAAAGAGCUACGACAGUCUCUAAUCUAAAUCUGAUCUUGAAAGAUCAAUCAGUGAUUGUCCCUAUCAUCAGCAGUAACUUCAUCUCACUGAGUUCUUUGAUGCCAGAGAAAAGUCUGAGAUAAGAACCAGAGAUGUGAAUUCAAAUGGGGAAUCAAGAAGGUAUUUCUUCCGCUUGAUUUUUCCUCUCCAUCUGAGCUAUGGUGUGUGUUUAUUACGAACUUGUUUCUGACUUCCUUGGUAGAAAUUCACAGUUCCCAUCGUCUGCAUGUGCUGUCUGUGCUCCGUGCUAAAAUUACUUUGUACGGUUUACCGAUCGGGCCUUCUUAGCUGCAAAGAUUGAAACAGAGGCAAACAAACAGCUGUAUUUCGAUCCGACUGCCCGCUGAAAAAAGCUCCUUGCUGCUCUGCCCUGAGCUCGUGCUGCAGUGCCAGCCCCAGGUUUGCUCUGCUCGGAGCAGCGCAGCUCAGCGCCCAUCCCCGAGCUGAGCAGUGCCGUCCCAGUCCUUGGGGGGCCCUACGGGAGGAAAAGCAAACGUAUAACCACACACACAGCAAAGUUAGUGAGUGCCUCUGCUGUUGUUUAUACAUUUAGAUGCUAUGAUUAAAUUACAUACAUAAUGCAUAGUGUUUGUAAUACAUUAUUAAUAAUAAUAAUACCGUCUUGU